rnacentral:rRNA from 1 species
UAGGGAAUAUUGGGCAAUGGACGCAAGUCUGACCCAGCCACGCCGCGUGCAGGAAGAAGGCCCUCUGGGUUGUAAACUGCUUUUGACUGGGAAGAAAAGACCUCUUGCGAGAGGAGUUGACGGUACCAGCAGAAUAAGCCACGGCUAACUACGUGCCAGCAGCCGCGGUAAUACGUAGGUGGCGAGCGUUAUCCGGAUUUAUUGGGUUUAAAGGGUGCGUAGGCGGCUGAUUAAGUCAGCGGUGAAAGGUAGCAGCUUAACUGUUUUACAUGCCGUUGAUACUGGUUAGCUUGAGUUGACAGAAGGCAGAUAGAAUUUCUGGUGUAGCGGUGAAAUGCUUAGAUACCAGGAGGAAUACCGAUUGCGAAGGCAGUCUGCUGCAGUCACACUGACGCUGAGGCACGAAAGUGCGGGGAUCAAACA